rnacentral:rRNA from 1 species
GACGAACGCUGGCGGCGUGCCUAAUACAUGCAAGUAGGACGCAGUUGCGAACGGGUGAGUAACGCGUAGGUAACUACCUAUUAGAGGGGGCUAACUAUUGGAAACGAUAGCUAAUACCGCAUACUAGUAGAUGGACCUGCGUUGUAUUAGCUAGUAGGUAGGGUAAUGGCCUACCUAGGCAACGAUACAUAGCCGACCUGGUAGGGGGGUCGGCGGCACUGGGACAUGGGAACGGGCCAGAGCCCGUCGGGUGACAGCAGUGGGGAAAGGUCGGCAAUUGGGGGAACCCUGACCGAGCAACGCCGCGGGAGGGAAGAAGGUUUUCGGUUCGUAAAGCUAUGUUGUUAAGGAAGCGGUACUUAACCAGAAUGGGACGGCUAACUACGUGCCAGCAGCCGCGGUAAUUC